UCGGCCCAAUCCAAUCGCCCGCACGACGCAACCCUUCCUCCCUAGCCGCCAGCCCUGCUCAUCCCCUCCUCCCCGCUCCCUCCAUCCUCCCCCAUGUCGCCGCCCCUCUUCUCCCCGCACGCCUCGGCCGCCUCCUCUCCUCCGCCGUGUCGUCGGGCCCCUCCCUCCUCCUACCUCCUCCUUCCUCCUCUCAGUCCCGUGCCAGCCGCCGCCCAAACCCUAGCCCCCGUUUCCCUCGAUCCCAACAGUAACCGCAUCCACAGCCACCUUCUCACAGCCGCUGCACCAUUCCUCCCUUCUGCCCCUUCCUCCUUCCCGGAUCCCCACCACGGCGCCGACAUGUAGACAAAGGGCCAGGCGGUGGUGCGCCCGCCGGAUCCGAGGCACGUGGGAGGGCAGCAGUGGCGCGUCGAUCAGAUCGAGAGCGACCCCGAUGGAGGGGAAGGGACCGGUAGGCGCGUGCAGGCGGCAGAAGCUUGGGGGAUUGGGGAGAUGGCGGCCAACCGAGUUUCUUCGACUGAUCUGGACAUGGCCAUGGCAGCGCACGCAAGGGGCGGAGGCGAGCGACCCUCUGGAGCAACGCACAUCGACAGACCUGAGUGCGUGAUGUGCAGCAGCAAGGUGAUACAUGCCUCUGCCCUUUCUCUCUCACAAUGGUGAGGAGCAAGUGUGUGCUGCUCUGAACCUUUUUGCUUUACAAAAGAGAAACUGGCCUGCACUUUCCCACUGCAUGGACAUAUAAUAUUUAGUGCUGAUACAAGGGUUUGUUGCUGCCGAAUGAUAGAAAUUCAGGCACAAGCGAUGGUGAUCUUAGUGGGAACAAUCAAAAGAGAAGCAGCAAAUGAAUCCCAGCAGACCCAUGUCAGAAUAACAUAUUUGCAAUAGAAUUUAGCAUGUCAAUUCUGUAGAUAAAUGCAGCAGAGACACAUGUAUAUUCGACGACAAUGGGUCUUGCACGCAUUGCAUGAAGGGAAGGGAACGAGCCGGCUUACCCAAUAGAACAAAUGUGUGUAGCCUGCGUCGUACCUUGCGAUAGAGCUCGUAUCCGGCCUUGAUCCUGACAACAUAUAUGUACGCUACAGAGCAUAAAAAUGGGAAAAUACAAAUAUGAUUGGUGGUUGGUUCACCAUUUAAAAAUUUGAUCUACCAAUUGUGUUUUAAUGAUUUCUACUUGAGCUAAAACCACGACAAUAAUUUUGGAACGGAGGGAGUACUUAUUUGUUGUUGUAUCUUUGAUAGUUUGAUAAAAAAUAUCAUGAAGGUUAAAUCGGGCGUGGUUUUAAUAUAUUUUUCUUACAAGAUAUUACAUCGGCUUUCUGGUUUGGAAAUACUUAUAAUCGUUUUCUUCUAACUGCAUCUGAGCCUACACUUUUGUAGACUACUCAGGAUAGAGAUGAUAUGAAUGUGAGCAACAAAGUUAUUUACUCAGGAAUGCCUUGGGACAAAACAACACGCUAAUGGCCAGCAGAUGGACUUAAGAUCUUCCAGAGGUACUUCAUUUUAACUAUAAAAAAUGAAUGCUGACAAAGUGCAAAUAUGAUACAGUUUUGCUGAUUGGAUGCAUUAUAUUCCAAGUUAACCUUUGCGUUGAGAAUAUCAUCCUAUUUUUUAUAGGAACAACUCGCUAUCAGUGCAUUACAAUUUUGUGUGGUACGUUUGUUUUUACCUAUUCCAGUUCUGAGCCUUACUUGUUCAUAUGGUUUCAAUUGCCGUCUCUCAUGUGACGUUGAGAAAAUCACAUGUAUAUGCGUAUUUUUUCCUCUGUACCCUGAUUUAUCUUAGUCCUUAUGUCAAAGAUACUGGAUGUAGUAAUAGAUCGACGUACUAACAAAUGCAAAGAGAAUGAACCUCCUCUUGAUUAGCUCAAGAGGACCUGUAUAGUGGCUUCAUGUAAUUUCUUGAUUUCCCAUAAUGAUUUUGCUGGCAAUUUGUCAGUGUUUUUAUAGCUGAAAUUGCAUGUAUAUAUUACAAAUUUACAUUGCAACAAAUUAAUAAGGAGUAUAGAAGCAUUUGCAUCUAUCUAACAUAUUUGUAUGGUAUGUUUCAAAAAUCUCAAGGUUAGAUAUGUACUGAUGUAUGAGGCUAUCAUUAGGAUGGAAGACAAUUAAUGUUAAAAUAUUGUUUGAUUUUCCUUCGUUCUGUAAACAGCAAUACAAGCUAUGUUUGCACCAUGAUUCUAUUCCAAUUUUUUUAACAACUGACAAUUAACAACACAUCAAAUGUUGCGUAUUGAAAUGGGUCAUAAUGGUUAUAUUCUACGACAGGAUUAGUUUUGUUUAUACUGUAACCUGUUCAAGGAUUGAUGAGUUUUCGAACCCUACGAUCUUUGCACACUAAGGUUCAGUUGUGUUCUUUGUGAAAUAUACAUCCUGCAAGUCUCAUGUGUCUUGCGUUGUUUUUGCUUUCCAAGCUACAGGCUUUUGAUAUACUCAAAAUGAGAUUCUUUAUAUGGUGUUCGAUUCCUCUUGCUAUCACCACAACGGGAAAUGUCUUACCCCCGCAAAAAAAACGGGAAAUGUCUUACGGUGGCAAUAUGCACUUCUAUGAUGUCUGAUUGACUUUUUUUUAGCAUGAAGAAUAAAUUUUACUUCACUAAGAUUAGUUUCUGUUCACAUUGCUCUGUAUAUAAAAAAGGAUUGUUGUGCUUACAAGGUUUAUGACAUUUUGGCGAAACAUUAUUUAGUAAAAAAGUAUGUAGAGGUGAACUUUAGAGGUGAAAUGUUGUGGAUGUUCUGACAAAGAGAUGCUUGGACUAACUUUAGCGUCACACCUUAUUCAAUAUCUGGGUAUUGGUUUCUACUAACUGUCAGUGCCUUAAUUUUUCUUUUCCUCCCAAUGCCAUGUGAUAUUUACUGGACUAUAAUUCACAUGCUUGCAAGUCGUCGUCGUGUCUCUCUCUCUAACUGCCCCCCUCCCAUCAUCUUGGCUUGCUCACUGUCACUAUGUCAGAUACCAUUUUAUUUAUCUCAUUAAGUUGUAUUGAUUGGCAAAAACACCUCACAAAUGCCAAAAAAUAAGCAACUCCUCUUGAUCAGCUCAAGAGGAUCUCCAGUGGCUUCAUGGUAUUUCUGAAUGUAUCUGUAUACCAGCCGAACGGGCAAAUACUCAAGUGACUGAAUGUGGUGACUAUAAAAGUCAGAACCGGGUACUUUUAUCUCUUGUGGAGAAUAUAAAUAUUUUUGUGGGUGCUCUUGUGUACAUAUAAAAAAUUUAAGGUGGUCAUGAUUCAGCUGACUAGGUUUUUUUUCUGUGUGAAGGAAAGAAAAAAGUUGGUACCUAAUAGAACCAAAGUAAUCGAUCCUCUUCUGUACAUUUGUAGAAAUAAAAUAGAAUAGCUUGGAAAGUAGUUUCGAUAUCAUUUUUGGAAAUAGCAUAUAGGUAGUCAUGGCAGGUUUUCUAUGAUCCAAAUAAGAGUACACAUGCCUUUGUUUUAACAUACAGAUUAAAUGUUGAAAAGUACAUUUUGAUUGCUUAGUCAGUGUAUUAUCCGUUCAAAAAAAAGUCAAUGUAUUGAUAAUAGUUUGGCUUCCUUGGUGGUGUAGAUUCAAGGAAAUUUAUAAAAUUCAUGCAUUCUUUCUUAACUUUUUUGCAUUUAUAUGUUCUGUACUGUUGAGUAAACUCAGUUGCAGCUAUAGCAAGUGAGCUCUAUAUUCAAUUCAGCUAACAGUUUUUGUUCCUACUAUUAAAACAUAUACUGUUUUUUAAGAGAAACAUACCUAAUGUUUUAUUUGAUUAACCCUGUAUGUAUAGCAAAUUUCUUCUAAUUUGUUUUUCUUAAGUGCUGAAGACUUCCAUAAGGGCGCAACUACAAAUAGUUCUUAUCUUCAGAGGGUAGCCUUAGUCUCUCUACCUUUUCUUUUUUGGUGUUGAUAAUUGGAUUAAAUAUGUUAGAUAGCUGCUGAGUAUUUUGAUUUGUUCUUAGGAAAAUCGUUUACACCAAGAGAUAGAAGACCUGGAGGACACUGGGUAUAAGUUGAGAGUUCUCGCACAAAAUCAUCCCGACACACCGUAAAAUGGAUAGAUGACCUGUUUGCGCCUCAAGAAGUCAUAGGCAGGACCAAAUAUAUGAUGGAGUGCACGACCAAAAUCUAUCCAUUUUGGUCGUGCGCUCCAUCAUACAUUUGCGCCUCUAAAAUUAGUUUGUUGACUAAAUUGUGUUGUUCCCUUUUGCCGUUCUCUACUCUUUUUGUCGUUUUAACUGUAAAAUAUGAUAUAUGAUAUAAUGGUUAUUUGUAUAUCGAGCAGGUGAUGUAAUUACUUUCAAUAGUGCUUCAGCUCUGCAAUCGACAGUUUGACCUCAUGCUAGGGCAACCUCAGCCAGUUGCCUCUUCUAUCAAAGUGCUGAUGGAAGACAUCCUGAGUCCUUAUUGCAUGCUAGAGAACAACAACUAUCUUGUUGGCGAUUCCCCUGAUAUUUGGUUCUACAAGUGUGGCAUAUGGACCAAUGAAAGCAAAGAUAUUCUGAAUGUAAUAGCUAUAUGGGUUGCGCCAAAUGGGUCAACAGUGGAAGCGUCACGCUUAAGUACCUGUGGAUGUGUACUAUGCAAGCAUUUUCAGACAAUGCAAUGGCACCCUGUUUGUACAUUCACACCCUUUGAAUGCCACAAUCAGACUAAGAAGAUGUCUAAAUGAGUUGUGAGGCUGCCUCCAUAUAAGUGUUUCUGUAAACUGAUCUAUGUCAUUCUACUACCUGUACUGGUAUCUGUAAUACAAUCCACAUUGCAUUCAAUGAGCAAAGUUUGAUAAAUUGUAUCUGUCGUCAU